ACUUCCGGUCCCGCCGCCGGGAGCCGGUGCGGCUGUGAGGGGCCGCGUCUCGCAGCAGCCGCCCGGACCGGGCAUGGUGUUGGGCGCCGGGCCCGCCUCGCCUGUCUCGGGGAGCCCAGGGUAAAGGCAGCAGUAAUGCUAACGCUAGCAAGUAAACUGAAGCGUGACGAUGGUCUCAAAGGGUCCCGGACGGCAGCCACAGCGUCCGACUCGACUCGGAGGGUUUCUGUGAGAGACAAAUUGCUUGUUAAAGGUCAAAGCCUACGGCGAAUCUUGUGAAAAAUUAGUUCUCUUCACGGAAUUAAUAACAUAUAGUGUUCUAGAGUUUUCGUGACUUCUGCUAUCCAUGUUGAGGUUGCAGAACUUGAAGCUAAUUUACCUUGUACAUGUAAAGUGCAUUUUCCUGAUCCAAACAAGCUUCAUUGUUUUCAGCUAACAGUAACCCCAGAUGAGGGUUACUACCAGGGUGGAAAAUUUCAGUUUGAAACUGAAGUUCCCGAUGCGUACAACAUGGUGCCUCCCAAAGUGAAAUGCCUGACCAAGAUCUGGCACCCCAACAUCACAGAGACAGGGGAAAUAUGUCUGAGUUUAUUGAGAGAACAUUCAAUUGAUGGCACUGGCUGGGCUCCCACAAGAACAUUAAAGGAUGUCGUUUGGGGAUUAAACUCUUUGUUUACUGAUCUUUUGAAUUUUGAUGAUCCACUGAAUAUUGAAGCUGCAGAACAUCAUUUGCGGGACAAGGAGGACUUCCGGAAUAAAGUGGAUGACUACAUCAAACGUUAUGCCAGAUGAUAAAAGGGGACGAUUGCAGGCCCAUGGACUGUGUUACAGUUUGUCUCUAACAUGAAACAGCAAGAGGUAGCCCCCUCUCCCGUCCUCAUGCUCCCUCUCAGUCCCCUGGAUUGCCCCAGUCCUGUGACCAUGUUGCCCUGAAGAAGACCAUCUUCAUGACUGCUCAUUGUAGAUGGAGAAUUCAACAUAAAUACAGCAAGAAAAUGUGUUUGGGCUUCUGAAGAGUUGUCUGCUUACCUUAACAUGUUUACUUUUUUGAACUUGUACUGUAUAGGCUGUUGGUGAAAUUCUUAAGAAGUUGUAAUGAACUCAAAAUUGAGGCCAGAGCUUGCUUUCCCUUUUCCCAAACAAAAUUGGUUUUCUGCACAAGCGAUGCUAAUGAUGUGUUCAGUGUAACUCGCAGAUUGGCAAUAAGAUACCCGCUACAAACUGUGAUUGGAUGCAAAAUCUCUUAGCUUCUUUCACGAAUGUUGGCCCUGCCUAGAUGUUGUGAAGCCUCCCAGAAUGCAUAGAGUCAUUCACUGUAGAUCUCUUAUUGAAAUGCGUAUUUUAUUUAAUGUAAGUAUAUUUUGGAACAGAUUUGUAAUUUGUACAAUUCAAUGCUUUAAUUAUUUUUUCUAUUCUCAUUUAGUUUGUAUUUUCAUUGUAUAGAGCAGACAGAAAGAUGUUGGGUCAAGCAACUAUUGAAGAGAAAUACAAAGAAAAUAUGAAAGGCACAUUAUUCAUUUUGUCCAAAUGCAAUGAGAAUCUCACUCUUAAAAAUCAGCUCUUGCUUUCGGGUCCGGAUGUGGUGAGCACAUUUUGGAGCCCUUUGAAGCUAGAUUUGGAUGAUCAAAACAAAAAGGCAGGGAGCCCAUUCUAACAUGCUGCCCAGAGGAAACUGGCUGGAGCCUGGACCAGCUGGGGUUGAUGCUUUUGCAGUGGUCAUGUGAUUGUGACCUGGUAGCUACUUAUCAGAGAGCCAGACCCUGCUGUCCUGGGAGACAGGAGCGAUGCCUCAGGAAUCAGCCCAAUGUCUGAUGUCACUGAGACUGUACCUGUGGCCUUCUUCUGAGUUUGCUAUGGCUCCAGGCCCUGCCGGUGGGGUGAGCCUCCUAGGCCUUGGAGGACCAGGAGUCAACAGUGGCAUAUGCCAUCCUCGGCCAGGUUAAUAUACUGCAGAGGAAAAGCCCUGAAGAGAGGCAAGUGGAUUUACUCCAGCAUGUAGACAUUUGAACCAGUGAAAUCAAACACAAAAUAAAUGUCUGUCUAGUUUCAUUUGCUGCCUGCCUAACACUCUCAAACUUAACUGCCAGCUUCCUUAGACCUCUGGAUUCCCCCAUCUGCCAUCUACUGGGUUUAGUUUGUUUUUCUUAAUUUAUAGAAUCUCUGAUUGUGAGAUCAGUCUGUCACGGAGACCCAGCAGGUGAGGAAUGUAGGCCUUGCUUCCUCUUUGCACCCAUUA